CCUACGGGAGGCAGCAGUAGGGAAUAUUGCUCAAUGGGGGAAACCCUGAAGCAGCAACGCCGCGUGGAGGAUGAAGGUUUUCGGAUUGUAAACUCCUUUUGUUAGAGAAGAUAUUGACGGUAUCUAACGAAUAAGCACCGGCUAAAUCCGUGCCAGCAGCCGCGGUAAUACGGAGGGUGCAAGCGUUACUCAGAAUCACUGGGCGUAAAGGGCGCGUAGGCGGGAUAGCAAGUCAGAUGUGAAAUCCUAUGGCUUAACCAUAGAACUGCAUUUGAAACUGUUGUUCUAGAGUAUGGGAGAGGUAGGUGGAAUUCUUGGUGUAGGGGUAAAAUCCGUAGAGAUCAAGAGGAAUACUCAUUGCGAAGGCGACCUGAUAGAACAUAACUGACGCUGAUGCGCGAAAGCGUGGGGAGCAAACAGGAUUAGAUACCCCAGUAGUC
rnacentral:rRNA from 1 species